rnacentral:rRNA from 1 species
GACGAACGCUGGCGGCGUGCCUAAUACAUGCAAGUCGACCUUAGUGGCGAACGGGUGAGUAACACGUGGGUAACCUGCACAGCAGAAGGGGAUGACACUUGGAAACAGGUGCUAAUACCGUAAAUAGAUGGAUGGACACGCGGUGAAUUAGCUAGUUGGUGAGGUAACGGCUCACAAAGGCCACGAUGCAUAGCCGACCGGAGAGGUGGAUCAGCCACAUUGGGACUGAGAAACGGCCCAAACUCCUACGGGAGGCAGCAGUAGGGAAUCGUCGGCAAUGGACGAAAGUCUGACCUAGCAACGCCGCGUGAGUGAAGAAGGUUUUCGGAGCGUAAAACUCUGUUGUUAGAGAAGCGGUAUCUAACCAGAAAGCCACGGCUAACUACGUGCCAGUAGCCGCGGUAAUAC